rnacentral:rRNA from 1 species
AACGUAGUCGCAGCGAAAGCGAGUCUGAAUAGGGCGUAUAGUUAUGGGGGUAGACGCGAAACCUGAGUGAUCUACCCAUGGCCAGGAUGAAGUUGCCGUAACAGGUAAUGGAGGUCCGAACUGGUAAGCGUUGAAAAGCUUUCGGAUGAGCUGUGGGUAGGGGUGAAAGGCUAAUCAAACUGGGAGAUAGCUCGUACUCCUCGAAAUGUUUUUUGGAACAGCCUCGGUAUAUAGUGUCGCAGAGGUAGAGCUACUAAUUGGGUAAGGGGGUGUCAAAGCCUACCGAACUCAGAUAAACUCCGAAUGCUGCGUACAUGUUCACCGGGAGUGAGCCCUUGGGUGCUAAGGUCCGAGGGCGAGAGGGAAAGAACCCAGACCAUCAGCUAAGGUCUCUAAAUAUAGAUUAAGUUGAACUAACGUGGUUCAAUCGCUAAGACAGCUAGGAUGUUUGCUUGGAAGCAGCAAUUCAUUUAAAGAGUGCGUAACAGCUCACUAGUCGAGCGGUUGAGCGUGGAUGAUAAACGGGCG